UUACCAAAAUAUGUUUACAGUUUUACAUCAUGACUCAUGUAGACUUCACUUGGUGGUCUAUAUGAUCUCCAACGGAGCUUAAGGCAGCAUUGCGUUCAGCAGCUGCAGCACCUAAACAAACAAACAAACAAAAAACAUCAUGUAGAUUGGAAACAACUUUCAAGGGUUUUUUAAGAAAAAUGUCAGUUUUUUUUUUUAGGGUUUUUUACAAAAAAAAAACAAACACCCUAGUUUAGGUUUUCUUGCAACGCCACAGCGUUUUCGUCAAUGGUAAUGUGGAAGCCCUGCCAAAUGGUGUUGUAAUUUGAAUCGAUUGGACUAAGGUCGGAAGUCGGAUUCCUUGUGCAAUUCCGCCUACCGAAAUCUCUAGCUUUUCCCUAUCUUGCUGACUAAUGUAUGAAUACGAAAGACUGUUUCAUCAUCAGACCGGCGUAGUUCGAGUACUAAACAUACCUGCAUUUUUGUACCGUAGUCACUGCACAAGGACUCCUACAGAAAGAUUAAACAAUGCAUGUGUAUAGUGAUGAUAUUAGAAAUCCAAACAGCCUAAGCCAGACAGAUAAAAAAGAAACAGAUUUUGGCCAUUUAGCACAAAGUGUUAAAACACUUCAAAGUGGUAAAACCAUGGUUAAAACACUUCAAAGUGGUAGAACCAUGGUUAAAACACUUCAAAGUGGUAAAACCAUGGUUAAAACACUUAAAAGUGUUUCAGUAAAACAUCAUAGUCAAGCAGUCUCAAAAAAAAAGCUUAUUCUAGAGCUGAAAAGGUUGAAAUUGGACACUAGAGGGAGCAGAAAAGUUCUAGUUAAACGAUUAAACAUGUGCCAGAGUCUAACAAAACAAAAUGCACAUGGAGAUUAUCCAAAAGAAAACAUCUUUGAUUUCUAUGUUGUCAUUGACUUCGAAGCAACAUGUGACGGGCAUAAGAUUAUCAAGCCAGAAAACCAAGAAAUAAUUGAGUUUCCAGCAGUUUUGUUAAAUUGCAAAAAUGGGAAAGUGGAGGAUGAAUUUCAAUCCUAUUGCCGCCCAGUACUGCAUCCGUUACUAACAGACUAUUGCACCAAGCUUACAGGAAUCACACAGGACAUUGUGGAUCAAGCACCUUCCUUUCCUGAAACUUUUGCCUCUUUUAAUGAAUGGUUACAAAAGAAGAAUUUGGGUUCAAAAUUUUCUUUUGCGAUUGUCACUGAUGGAUCAAAGGAUAUGGGUCACUUCCUGAAAAGGCAAUGUGUGUUGUCGAACAUUCUCUUCCCGGAAUAUGGAAAAUAUUGGGUCAAUAUUCGAAAAAUCUUCAGCAAUUUUUACAAAGUUGGUGAUAUGGUGCACCGAGCCCAUCUUAUCAAUGAGACGGUCUUAACUGCAAUGAUGAAGGAGAUGGAAUACGAAUUUAAAGGCCGCGCCCAUUCAGGUUUAGACGAUGCUCGAAACAUUGCGUGCAUUGUUCAAGUCCUGCUGAAAGACGGAGCGUCAAUAAUAUUCAAUGAAAAGUUGCCGGAAGAAACUGCAGAGGAACAGAACGGAAAGCGAACGUUUUCUCUACCGGUACUCCAACCAGAAUUCGAAAUCAUCAAGGCCGCGCUUAAGUCAAAUUUUCCCACCAUAAAUUGUCCGACAAAUAUUUUGCUAAAGUCUUCCGUGAAUGAGGCUGCCAAAAAAUCAUGCACAAACAGUGCCAUGUUGCAUGGGGAAAUCCUGGGAGAGAAGACAUUGGAGACUGCUACCAAAAAGGUUCCAGCAGUGAAAUCGGGAAAGACGGUGCCUAAACCUGCUCAAAUACCUAAAAACGAGGUUGAAAAUACUCGCAUAGAUGGUGCGUUAUCAAAUAUUUCUUCCGGAGACGCCUCGUCGAUAAACCUUACAACGAAGAUUGUCACUAAAGAUGUUCUAGCUAAGAAAAAUAAAAAGUCGCCAACUAUCGAACUUAAACCAAACGUUUCUGAAGGUGGAAGUGCGGCGGGGAAUGCAAAAAAAUCUCGCAAUAAAAAAAAAUCUCGCAAUAAAAAAAAAUCGGUUAAAACUACCAACAAAGGAACUCCAACAAAGGAUCCCACCACAACUACAGCCGUAAAGACGCCUGAGAAAAUAAUCCCAGUGAAGACCAGUCUGGAAGAGGCUCCAGUAAAGAUCCCGGCGAAUGAGAUUCCUAUUAUUACCAUUGAAAAAAAGCCUUCAGCACAGAACCCUGCAAAAAGUGCUCCAGCAAAGUAUUGUACGAAGAAGAUUCCAACUACGACUACUGUAAAAAGUUCACCAACCCCUUCCGCCCUGUGUACUAUCCAAAGCUCUAGAACAAAAACCCAGGAGAAAGAGUCUCCAUUGAUUACUACACCCGAAAAUCGUGGAAAGAAAACUAUGGUUGGGCGCUGUGUCAAGAAACUGCGAACUGAGGCCUUAGUAAAAGAGGCCGGUACAAAUAUUGUUCCAAAUAUUUCCGAGUCUUCAAAUCUUGAGAAAACUGCAGAAGAGAUAGCUAAGGAGUUAAAGCUUGCAAAAAAAAAAUUUUAUGUAAAAGCUCAGCAUACACAGAUCCCAAACGGAGAAUUAAAAAAGACACUGAAGAACAUUGAAAAUCUGAAGAAAAGCUUAAAUGCUGCCCGAUUAAGGGAAGUUCCAUGUGUUCCAUGCAAGCCACCGGUUGAAAAAGGGGUAACAAUUGCAAAGGGAUCAAACGUGGUGCAAAAUCGGAAAAAAAUCCAGGCUAGUAAACAAGCAGUCGCUCAUUCACAGAAAAAGAAAGCCUCUCCAUCAAAAGAAGGGAACAAUUCAGGGAGUAAGGAUAGCCAAGGAACUGUGGUGCGUGACACGAAAAUUCCACUUCCUAAUAGGAUAGCUGCAAGUUUUUUUCUAUUGGAUGAAAAUCCACGUCCCAAAGAAGAAAGCGUUUGUGAUGAAACCAAUGAAGAACUGUUCUUUAAGAUUUUCGAGAAUGUUUUGGAUAAGCAGACAAUGAGAGAUCAAGAAGAUAAAGAAUGAAGUGCAGGAGAAAGGAGGGAAGCUCAAAACCAUUUUGUCGGUCGUGAUAACGGUAUAGAAAGACAUUUCUUGGAGCAGACGAGUCAUUCGAAGGGAAUUCACCUUUGAUCGGACCAAAAGUUUUUUUAGUUGAGAACGACGGCGAUUCUGAGUUCCUAAUUCGUUUUACACUGAUGGUGUUAUAGUGCUGCUGACCCAACGUAAUCAAAGGGAUUUUAGCUGCAAGUCCCCUGUGAAAGCGAAGUCGAUAUUCGUGGUUCUCAUUUAAUUUUGCAACGUAAUCAUCUAUGGGGUUGCUAUAUUUAGAUUUUAGCAGAAAAACAAAAUAAGCCCGACAUCCACGUUAGUGUUUGUAUAUAAUGUGGCCAUAUGUUUGAUUUCUCUGGGUCUUCUGGGUCUAUGGUUCGAUUUCCCGCUGAAUUUAAUUUAGUUGAUCUUUAAAAUACUGCCAACCAAAAUUUACAUGAAGCCUGUAUCGCAGUAUCAAUCCUUAGCCAGCCUCGCUAGGUAAAAUUGGAAACAAACACAAAAGGUAAUCCAAAAAUGAAAUUGAAUAGCAUCAUCCUACAUAGACUCCGCUCGGGGCACCACCACCUAAACUCUUUCAUCCAUAGAAUUAACCCGGAAGCCGACCCUAACUGCCGCUUCGGAUGCGAAGCCAUCGAAAACGCACGGCAUGCCCAAAAAAUGAAGUAUACCGCCAAAAAAUCCGCCGGUUUUGCCUGGAGAAAAAACUAGAAUUUAACGCGAACACAAUGCUCGGCCUUAACCCAACAGCUGAUACGCACACGCAGCUUAAAAUCCGAAAUCUCAUGGCCAAAUUCUUAACACAAUCCGCCCUAAUCAACAUCGCCUAACAACUUAAAAAUAAAAAAAAAAAAAAAAAAAAGGGGGGGAAGGAGCUUAACGGCACUAAGUAGAACACAGAAUCAAAAUGGGGACCAGACAAUUUGUUAUGGCUGAGUACCUACACUCAAACCAGAUAGGGUGCAAACACUAUGCCACUUUCUCUCUACUACUUGAUAAAUCUGGCAAGUAACCAAGUUGUUAUGUGUCCUCAUCCAUAGCAACAACUUGCAUCAUCCAAGCAACGUGGGCUGCCAACCAAGUCCUCAAGUGAAAGGUGUGUGGCCUUUCAGUAAGUUUGUUAUUUUGAGGGCACUGGGGCCUGAAAUAGAUUUCGAUAGAUGGCAGUGCAGAUGCAGAUCAGCAGAUGGCAGUACAUCUAAAGUUUUUUCGUCCCAAUCUGGCAACGUUACUGCAAUAAUUAUUCGUCUGAAGUGCGCCUCCCAUUGUGAACUACGCGUGGUUCACUGUACGUUGUCCGGUUUUUUAAAAUUGCUUUAUUACUUUAAUAUGUCUUUUUGUAAUUCCUUGGUCUUGGCACUUUGUAACCAACAAAGAAACUGCCCUUUUCACGUUACUUCUACCAAUUUUUAAGUACUCGUACAUUUAGUUGAUUAUAGAAAAAAUCUUACCAUUCACACGAAUGCCUUAGUCUGAUCUGAUCCUGUCAUCAUGCUAAUCCGUUCUUGCCACUGGCCGAAGCCUUGUCGUCAAAUUUUGCAUCUUUCCAUUUAAACGUAUCUCAUACAAGCAUUCUGGCAUGUGUCAGGCAACAGGGUACAUUUGAUCAACAAUCUUAUCAAUAGCGUCACGAAAGACAAAACGAAGCAGAGGGUAUUUACAAAAAUCAAUUUAAUUUCUAAUUCAAUGUUAUGUUUUCUAAUUGUGUAACAGUUGGUCAAGGUGGAAAAACAGACAUUGGACCAAAAAUUUUAUUCCCACACUCUUUAUGGGAAUUCUGGGAUGUUAGCUGUUAUUGCAGAACACUCCUUGGUUCUUUAGUGAGGUUCCAGAAGGCAGCAUUCCAAGAGCAAGAAUUUAGUUUACAGGCUGUCAACACAAUUUAGAUUGUUUAACUUUGUUUUCUUGCAUUGAUGGUGAAAUUGAAUUACAUUGAAAUUUAAAAGUU